rnacentral:rRNA from 1 species
UACGUAGGUCCCGAGCGUUGUCCGGAUUUAUUGGGCGUAAAGCGAGCGCAGGUGGUUUAUUAAGUCUGGUGUAAAAGGCAGUGGCUCAACCAUUGUAUGCAUUGGAAACUGGGAGGCUUGAGUGCAGGAGAGGAGAGUGGAAUUCCAUGUGUAGCGGUGAAAUGCGUAGAUAUAUGGAGGAACACCGGUGGCGAAAGCGGCUCUCUGGCCUGUAACUGACACUGAGGCUCGAAAGCGUGGGGAGCAAACAGG